rnacentral:rRNA from 1 species
CCUACGGGAGGCUGCAGUGGGGAAUUUUGCGCAAUGGGCGAAAGCCUGACGCAGCAACGCCGCGUGGAGGAUGAAGGCCUUCGGGUCGUAAACUCCUGUCAGUGGGGACGAAUGCCUCGCAAGAGGUUUGACUGUACCCGUUGAGGAAGCCACGGCUAACUCCGUGCCAGCAGCCGCGGUAAUACGGAGGUGGCAAGCGUUGUUCGGAAUUACUGGGCGUAAAGGGCGCGUAGGCGGCUUGGCAAGUCAGAUGUGAAAGCCCCGGGCUUAACCCGGGAAUUGCAUCUGAAACUGCUUUGCUUGAGUCCUGGAGGGGGUAGUGGAAUUCCCAGUGUAGCGGUGAAAUGCGUAGAUAUUGGGAGGAACACCUGCGGCGAAGGCGGCUACCUGGACAGUGACUGACGCUGAGGCGCGAAAGCUAGGGGAGCGAACGGGCUUAGAUACCCGAGUAGUC